AACGUCAAAUAUUGACACCAUUUUCAAAUCUUUUUUUCCUUUUUUUUUCUCCUCUUUUUUCUUGUUUUUCCACCUCUUUUUUCUCGACUUUUUUCACCUCAAUUCUGUCGCUGAAAUGCAGUAUAAAAAGACCUUGCCCAGAAUGAAAAUUUACGAGAAGAGAUUAUACUACGUAAUAGCAAAUCAACAAUCAAACAACAUAAUGUCUGACACACUAAAAUCGAUCCCUUUAAGGGUGUUCAAAGAACAUGGAAUAUUGAACGACCAGGACAUAUAAAGGAAACUAAUGAAGGGAUAAUAAAUUCCAUUAACGAAUUGGAAAAUUUCAAGGGUUCUGCAUUUUUUUUAAAUAUGGAUGAACUACAUAUUUGUGAACUCGGGGAAUCACACCAAAUGCAAUUUUGGAAAUUUUUGGCUAUUGGGGCCCAAACAGCAAGUCAUAAAUAUUUUAGAGCGCGAGAUUUUGCAAAUCUUCCCGAAAGAAAAAGCUCAAUACUAUCGCACGGAAGGACGUUCAAAAAUUUGUAUUUUCCAAAAAUUGUUUAAAUAGAUUUAAAAUUAAAAUUUAAAAUUAUUUCCACACUGUUUUCACACUUUUCGGCAAACCAAAACUUCCAACUUUGAUUUUAGGCAUAAAAUGCGUUAAUUUCUAACGACAUGCGAAUAGUUUUUUGGACAUUCAAUUUAAAUUUUUUAAAUGGUCAGAGCGCUUCACAACAUUAGAGCUGCUGGCUCAUGAGGAUUUCAUCCCUGUGUAGUUGCCAUGUAGCAAAUGUGUAGUUACGAUGUAACACAAAUAAAUUUAGUG